UCUGACCUCAAAUCAGGUAGGACUACCCGCUGAACUUAAGCAUAUC
rnacentral:rRNA from 2 species